rnacentral:rRNA from 1 species
GAUGAACGCUGGCGGCGUGCCUAAUACAUGCAAGUCGAGCGAACGGACGAGAAGCUUGCUUCUCUGAUGUUAGCGGCGGAAGGGUGAGUAACACGUGGAUAACCUACCUAUAAGACUGGGAUAACUUCGGGAAACCGGAGCUAAUACCGGAUAAUAUUUUGAAACGCAUGGUUCAAAAGUGAAAGACGGUGUUGCUGUCACUUAUAGAUGGAUCCGCGCUGCAUUAGCUAGUUGGUAAGGUAACGGCUUACCAAGGCAACGAUGCAUAGCCGACCUGAGAGGGUGAUCGGCCACACUGGAACUGAGACACGGUCCAGACUCCUACGGGAGGCAGCAGUAGGGAAUCUUCCGCAAUGGGCGAAAGCCUGACGGAGCAACGCCGCGUGAGUGAUGAAGGUCUUCGGAUCGUAAAACUCUGUUAUUAGGGAAGAACAUAUGUGUAAGUAACUGUGCACAUCUUGACGGUACCUAAUCAGAAAGCCACGGCUAACUACGUG